rnacentral:rRNA from 1 species
GGGUUGUGAGGUUAAGCGACUAAGCGUACACGGUGGAUGCCCUGGCAGUCAGAGGCGAUGAAGGACGUGCUAAUCUGCGAUAAGCGUCGGUGAGGUGAUAUGAACCGUUAUAACCGGCGAUUUCCGAAUGGGGAAACCCAGUGUGUUUCGACACACUAUCAUUAACUGAAUCCAUAGGUUAAUGAGGCGAACCGGGGGAACUGAAACAUCUAAGUACCCCGAGGAAAAGAAAUCAACCGAGAUUCCCCCAGUAGCGGCGAGCGAACGGGGAGGAGCCCAGAGCCUGAAUCAGUGUGUGUGUUAGUGGAAGCGUCUGGAAAGGCGCGCGAUACAGGGUGACAGCCCCGUACACAAAAAUGCACAUAUUGUGAGCUCGAUGAGUAGGGCGGGACACGUGGUAUCCUGUCUGAAUAUGGGGGGACCAUCCUCCAAGGCUAAAUACUCCUGACUGACCGAUAGUGAACCAGUACCGUGAGGGAAAGGCGAAAAGAACCCCGGCGAGGGGAGUGAAAAAGAACCUGAAACCGUGUACGUACAAGCAGUGGGAGCCUCUUAAUGGGGUGACUGCGUACCUUUUGUAUAAUGGGUCAGCGACUUAUAUUCUGUAGCAAGGUUAACCGAAUAGGGGAGCCGAAGGGAAACCGAGUCUUAACUGGGCGUUAAGUUGCAGGGUAUAGACCCGAAACCCGGUGAUCUAGCCAUGGGCAGGUUGAAGGUUGGGU